CCUUAUUUGAAUACAUGGGUUGCCUCCCAAGAAGCGCUUGCUUUAACGUCUUCCAGCUGGACGAAACUUCCUUCUAAACUUAGAUAGGGCCCAUAGCAUGGAAUUGGUCCUUGAAUGGACGGUGAUACUUGACGUGAUCCGGCAAUGGUUUAAAUUCUAGUGUAGGUGCCUGAAUCAUCAAAAUCAGCAAGUUAGUAUAUAAUAAAAUCAAAGUUGGAGAAGAUGGCUUACUUGCUUGCUCCAACACAAACUCCAUUACGAACACCACAUCUUUGUAGGUUGCAGGGAUAUGGGACUUGGCCAGAUUUGGUGUUUUGAGAGUUAUG
rnacentral:lncRNA from 1 species